ensembl:lncRNA
CAUUUCUACAAAUCUGAUAAAGAAACAAACUCAUCUUCAUCUUGGAUGGCCUCAGAUUGAGUACAUUCGCAGCAAAUUUGAAUUUUUUGGGUGAAUUAAUUUGGAUGCAUUUAUGGCUUUACUUGAUAAUCGUUUGGUUCUGCUUCCUCGUCUCAUUCACUGAGAUUUUAUUCUAAAACUAAAAAAUCUACUGAUAUUGUUUGCAUUUCACAUACAUUUUAUAAUAGCCGAAUGCAUCACAAGUUAAUAUUUGAUGCAUAAAGAAUUGACUGCUGGUGCUCAAGAUUGUAUAUCUAGUAGUUCGGUCGAUGUUUUUUUAAAGUUGAUGGCAUAACUAUGUAUUUCUAAUGCUGUAAUGGCCUAAAAUGAAGCACUGCCUGCGUGUUUUAAUUGUGGAAUGAUUAAGUAUAGUAUGUAAAUGAAAACACCAUCAGCAAAAGUUCAGGAUGUUCUUGUUAUAUCCGUUUGAUCUGCAUUUCAAUAUCUGACCCAAUGCAUGAUGCGUCAUCAUACCUCAAUACAGACCAGCGGGUGCUUAGAAAACUCCUCGGUGCAUCUGAACUAAAAGCUUUGGCCAAACAUGACAAAUAGCUGGCAGAAGUUUCUAAUGAUUUGAACACGUAUAAUCAGAACCACACAGAAUCUGCAGCACUGAAUUAGAAACGCCCAAAUUGCAAACACUGGUUAAUUUGUUUAUCUUUCUGCCUACUCUAAGCUUUAUUAUAAGCACUUUUACCAUAUUAAAAUCCAUUGUGUAGCACUGAAAAUGUGAUUAAGUAUGCGAUGCAGAUUCUUUCUGGGCCUGAUUAUCAGCAAUAGAUCAAAAUGCAAAACAGGUAUUUUGUAUUCUGCUGUGGAUUUUAGUUUGAAAAGCACUGUUGUUAUAUUUAAGGUCAUAUCGAGGCACUUUGCUGUGUUGUUGUUUUUUAGUAUGCGCAGUGUUUCUGCCUACAGAACAAUGUUUACAAGAGAUGUGACCUGCUGUAACUAACGCUGCCAUGGCAUACGUCUAUAGGAAUACAUUCCCUUUACCAGAACUAGUGUUCGGAUUUAUUUAUAAAUGCACUGCCAUCUGAACACACUGGACAGGAUCCGGCCCUCAGGGUUCCCACACUUCUGACCAGUCAGUGACUUUCCGUGAGAUUUCCAGAAUAGAUGUGGAUCAUUCCGAUUCACUGAUGAAUCAUUCAAACAGACUGCUUUAUGGCUUGCAAACAAGUUUUACUCAAUGCAAGCGCAAUAUUUAGAACAUUACUCGCAAAAUCUAUAUUCAUUAUACACAUUUUUAAGACCUUUAAAGAUUUUAUGACGUUUCCAGAUCUAGAAAACGCAAAUGUAAAAUCCCCCCAAAAUUUUUUACAUGAUUAACUUAUUUGUGAACCACUGAUUCACUGAAUGAUUCACUCAGUUCAGUUUUACUAGAGCCAAUUUAAUACUUUAGAGCAGAUUUUUACCAGAACUUUUAAGAUUUUAGGACUUUUCCAGCUCUAGAAAACAAAAAUGUAAAUUUUCUUUACAUGAUAAACUGAUUUGUAAACCACUGAUUCACUGAAUCAACUCAAAAGAGUGAUUCACCCAAUUCAGUUUUACCUGAGCCAAUUUAAUAUUUUAGAGCAUAGAGCAAAUUUUUAAAGAACUUUUAAGAUUUUAUGAGUUUUCCAGAUCUAGAAAACACAAAUGUAAAAUUGCCUAAAAGUUUUUACAUGAUUAACUGAUUUGUGAACCACUGAUUCACUGAAUGAUUCACUCAAUUCAGUUUUACUUGAGCCAAUUUAAUAUUUUAGAGCAUGGAGCAAUUUUUUUUAAAGAACUUUUAAGAUUUUAUGACUUUUCCAGAUCUAGAAAACACAAAUGUAAAAUUGCCUAAAUUUUUUUACAUGAUUAACUGAUUUGUGAAUCACUGAUUUACUGAAUGAUUCACUCAAUUCAGUUUUACUUGAGCCAGUUUAAUAUUUUAGAGCAUAGAGCAAAUUUUUAAAAAGAAUUUUAAGAUUUUAUGACUUUUCCAGAUCUAGAAAAAUUCCCUAAUGUUUUUUACGUGAUACCACUGAUUUGUGAACCACUGAUUCACUGAAUCAACUUAAAAGAAUGAUUCACCCAAUUCAGUUUUACCUGAGCCAAUUUAAUAUUUUAGAGCGUAGAGCAGAUUUUUAAAAGAACUUUUAAGAUUUUUAUGACUUUUCCAGAUCUGAAAAUCACAUAUUUGAAACUAUGUGACGGUGGGAACCCUGAACUUUGUAACAGUUUGAUAUUGUCCAUGUCCAUGGAGCGAAGAAGGGAGGAGUGAGAGUGUACUAUACAGACAUAUUCUUCUACAGAACAUCUAUUUUCUGAAAAUAAUAGUGGCUACGGAUCAUAAAUGUCAAGCUCUCCCGCAGAAAGUGACACAAAUAAGUAUAUAUGUUGUUGUAUUUAACGUAUGAUUUUAAUGUUUUGUGUGCUUAAUGCCAAAUACUGUUAACCGUCCGUUUUGAGGAACAAUACUGACUUAUUUUUUACAUAAUGUUUUUUAAUGUUCUGCAGUAUCCUGAUAUGCAUGCCAUACGGUGAUGGUAAAACUAUUUUAACGUGUCAGUGUUUUGUAUCAUCAUAUUGAAUAAAAAAAAAAAAACUGC